rfam:Myotis brandtii contig168155, whole genome shotgun sequence.
UGUGCACCGGUGGGGUCCCUUGGCCUGGCCUGUGGGGAUAGUGCCAAAACUGGCUCUCUGACAUCCCCUUAGGGGCACCGGAUUGCAAGAGGGCACAGGCCAGGCCAAGGGACCCCACCGGUGCACA